UGGGGAAUAUUGCACAAUGGGCGCAAGCCUGAUGCAGCAACGCCGCGUGAACGAUGAAGGUCUUCGGAUCGUAAAGUUCUGUUGCAGGGGAAGAUAAUGACGGUACCCUGUGAGGAAGCCCCGGCUAACUACGUGCCAGCAGCCGCGGUAAUACGUAGGGGGCUAGCGUUAUCCGGAUUUACUGGGCGUAAAGGGUGCGUAGGUGGUCCUUCAAGUCGGUGGUUAAAGGCUACGGCUCAACCGUAGUAAGCCGCCGAAACUGGAGGACUUGAGUGCAGGAGAGGAAAGUGGAAUUCCCAGUGUAGCGGUGAAAUGCGUAGAUAUUGGGAGGAACACCAGUAGCGAAGGCGGCUUUCUGGACUGCAACUGACACUGAGGAACGAAAGCGUGGGUAGCAAACAGG
rnacentral:rRNA from 1 species